rnacentral:rRNA from 1 species
ACUGAACGCUGGCGGCAUGCCUUACACAUGCAAGUCGAACGGCAGCACGGGGCAACCUGGUGGCGAGUGGCGAACGGGUGAGUAAUGCAUCGGAACGUACCUUUCAGUGGGGGAUAACGUAGCGAAAGUUACGCUAAUACCGCAUAUUCUGUGAGCAGGAAAGCAGGGGAUCGCAAGACCUUGCGCUGAUUGAGUGGCCGAUGUCAGAUUAGCUAGUUGGUGAGGUAAAGGCUCACCAAGGCGACGAUCUGUAGCGGGUCUGAGAGGAUGAUCCGCCACACUGGAACUGAGACACGGUCCAGACUCCUACGGGAGGCAGCAGUGGGGAAUUUUGGACAAUGGGGGCAACCCUGAUCCAGCCAUGCCGCGUGAGUGAAGAAGGCCUUCGGGUUGUAAAGCUCUUUCGGCCGGGAAGAAAUCGCACGGGCUAAUACCCUGUGUGGAUGACGGUACCGGAAUAAGAAGCACCGGCUAACUACGUGCCAGCAGCCGCCGUAACAC